GUCCUUGCACACUGUUAUAGGUGAAAAAGUACUUCCAAAUGUUCUUGAAAUCGAUUAACUACAUAUUGGCGCAUUUGUAUAUCUAAAAGAAAUACUUAAUCUCCGACUUUUAGCGGGAAAAUUUUUCUAAAGAAAAAUUCUAACAAAUUUUAAAAACAUAAAUAAGCGAUAUACAAUAAAAUGAUGAAUAUUUUUGGGUUCUUUGACAUGUUUUCUUUACAAAUUAACUUUUUGAAAAAUUUAACAAACCCGUAUUGUUUUAAUUCGAGGCAAUUAAAUAGGUCCUAUAUUUUCUGUCGUGUGGAAUUACGUGCCCUUUGUUGUUGUUUGGCAGUGACAGUGUUACACGUGUUGCAGAGAGGAAAGGAGGUGUACAGCAGUACAGUGCAAAUUUAAAGGUUUAAGAAAAUCGUGAAACUGUCAACUACUAAAAUGGCAUACAGUUACAGACGGAGAAAUAACUGGCCAAGCAGUAACCCUCUCCAGAGUGUACUAAACUUGCUGAGUAGUAGAGAAGUGCAUGGUUGUUUAGAUGAUAGAGUAUCCUGUGCCUUGUGAAAGAUCCAAAAAUACUUUGUAAAGGGUAAAGAAAGACA